AGAGCACUGAUGUAACAAGGAAACAUGCUGCUCUCCAAAGCAGUUAUGCGGGUUCGAUUCCCGUGUGCUCUU
rnacentral:tRNA from 1 species